UUGAUGAACGCUAGCUACAGGCUUAACACAUGCAAGUCGAGGGGCAUCAGGAAGAAAGCUUGCUUUCUUUGCUGGCGACCGGCGCACGGGUGAGUAACACGUAUCCAACCUGCCCUUUACUCGGGGAUAGCCUUUCGAAAGAAAGAUUAAUACCCGAUAGCAUAAUGAUUCCGCAUGGUUUCAUUAUUAAAGGAUUCCGGUAAAGGAUGGGGAUGCGUUCCAUUAGGUUGUUGGUGAGGUAACGGCCCACCAAGCCUUCGAUGGAUAGGGGUUCUGAGAGGAAGGUCCCCCACAUUGGAGCUGAGACACGGUCCAAACUCCUACGGGAGGCAGCAGUGAGGAAUAUUGGUCAAUGGGCGCUAGCCUGAACCAGCCAAGUAGCGUGAAGGAUGAAGGCUCUAUGGGUCGUAAACUUCUUUUAUAUAAGAAUAAAGUGCAGUAUGUAUACUGUUUUGUAUGUAUUAUAUGAAUAAGGAUCGGCUAACUCCGUGCCAGCAGCCGCGGUAAUACGGAGGAUCCGAGCGUUAUCCGGAUUUAUUGGGUUUAAAGGGAGCGUAGGUGGACUGGUAAGUCAGUUGUGAAAGUUUGCGGCUCAACCGUAAAAUUGCAGUUGAUACUGUCAGUCUUGAGUACAGUAGAGGUGGGCGGAAUUCGUGGUGUAGCGGUGAAAUGCUUAGAUAUCACGAAGAACUCCGAUUGCGAAGGCAGCUCACUGGACUGCAACUGACACUGAUGCUCGAAAGUGUGGGUAUCAAACAGGAUUAGAUACCCUGGUAGUCCACACAGUAAACGAUGAAUACUCGCUGUUUGCGAUAUACAGUAAGCGGCCAAGCGAAAGCAUUAAGUAUUCCACCUGGGGAGUACGCCGGCAACGGUGAAACUCAAAGGAAUUGACGGGGGCCCGCACAAGCGGAGGAACAUGUGGUUUAAUUCGAUGAUACGCGAGGAACCUUACCCGGGCUUAAAUUGCAGUGGAAUGAUGUGGAAACAUGUCAGUGAGCAAUCACCGCUGUGAAGGUGCUGCAUGGUUGUCGUCAGCUCGUGCCGUGAGGUGUCGGCUUAAGUGCCAUAACGAGCGCAACCCUUAUCUUUAGUUACUAACAGGUUAUGCUGAGGACUCUAGAGAGACUGCCGUCGUAAGAUGUGAGGAAGGUGGGGAUGACGUCAAAUCAGCACGGCCCUUACGUCCGGGGCUACACACGUGUUACAAUGGGGGGUACAGAAGGCAGCUAGCGGGUGACCGUAUGCUAAUCCCAAAAUCCUCUCUCAGUUCGGAUCGAAGUCUGCAACCCGACUUCGUGAAGCUGGAUUCGCUAGUAAUCGCGCAUCAGCCACGGCGCGGUGAAUACGUUCCCGGGCCUUGUACACACCGCCCGUCAAGCCAUGGGAGCCGGGGGUACCUGAAGUACGUAACCGCAAGGAUCGUCCUAGGGUAAAACUGGUG
rnacentral:rRNA from 1 species